UUGGCUUAGAAGCAGCCAUCAUUUAAAGAAAGCGUAAUAGCUCACUGGUCGAGUCGGCCUGCGCGGAAGAUGUAACGGGGCUAAACCAUGCACCGAAGCUGCGGCAGCGAACGUAUCACCCAAGACAACUUUACGGAGUUGACGAUUGACGGAGCGAAGCGACGUCAAAGCGUUCAUUAAAGUCGAGUUGGCUUAGGGAUACGUUCGUUGGGUAGGGGAGCGUUCUGUAAGCCUGUGAAGGUGUGUCGUGAGGCAUGCUGGAGGUAUCAGAAGUGCGAAUGCUGACAUAAGUAACGAUAAAGCGGGUGAAAAGCCCGCUCGCCGGAAGACCAAGGGUUCCUGUCCAACGUUAAUCGGGGCAGGGUGAG
rnacentral:rRNA from 1 species